AGCGAACGCUGGCGGCAGGCUUAACACAUGCAAGUCGAGCGGGCCCUUCGGGGUCAGCGGCAGACGGGUGAGUAACACGUGGGAACGUACCCUUUGGUUCGGAAUAACGCUGGGAAACUAGCGCUAAUACCGGAUACGCCCUUUUGGGGAAAGGCUUGCUGCCGAAGGAUCGGCCCGCGUCUGAUUAGCUAGUUGGUGGGGUAAUGGCCUACCAAGGCGACGAUCAGUAGCUGGUCUGAGAGGAUGAUCAGCCACACUGGGACUGAGACACGGCCCAGACUCCUACGGGAGGCAGCAGUGGGGAAUAUUGGACAAUGGGCGCAAGCCUGAUCCAGCCAUGCCGCGUGAGUGAUGAAGGCCUUAGGGUUGUAAAGCUCUUUUGUCCGGGACGAUAAUGACGGUACCGGAAGAAUAAGCCCCGGCUAACUUCG
rnacentral:rRNA from 1 species